AUUGAACGCUGGCGGCAUGCUUUACACAUGCAAGUCGAACGGCAGCGCGGGCUUCGGCCUGGCGGCGAGUGGCGAACGGGUGAGUAAUGCAUCGGAACGUGCCCAGUAGUGGGGGAUAGCCCGGCGAAAGCCGGAUUAAUACCGCACACGACCUGAGGGUGAAAGCGGGGGAUCGAAAGGCCUCGCGCUAUUGGCGCGGCCGAUGUCGGAUUAGCUAGUUGGUGGGGUAAAGGCUUACCAAGGCGACGAUCCGUAGCUGGUCUGAGAGGACGACCAGCCACACUGGGACUGAGACACGGCCCAGACUCCUACGGGAGGCGGCAGUGGGGAAUUUUGGACAAUGGGGGCAACCCUAAUCCAGCCAUGCCGCGUGCGGGAAGAAGGCCUUCGGGUUGUAAACCGCUUUUGUUCGGGAAGAAAUCCUCUGGGCUAAUACCCCGGGGGAAUGACGGUACCGGAAGAAUAAGCACCGGCUAACUACGUG
rnacentral:rRNA from 1 species